AGUGAACGCUGGCGGUAGGCCUAACACAUGCAAGUCGAACGGCAGCACAGUAAGAGCUUGCUCUUACGGGUGGCGAGUGGCGGACGGGUGAGGAAUACAUCGGAAUCUACUUUUUCGUGGGGGAUAACGUAGGGAAACUUACGCUAAUACCGCAUACGACCUACGGGUGAAAGCAGGGGAUCUUCGGACCUUGCGCGAUUGAAUGAGCCGAUGUCGGAUUAGCUAGUUGGCGGGGUAAAGGCCCACCAAGGCGACGAUCCGUAUCUGGUCUGAGAGGAUGAAUAGCCACCUGGGAACUGAGAAACGGUCCAGACUCCUACGGGAGGCAGCAGUGGGGAAUAUUGGACAAUGGGGGCAAGCCUGAUCCAGCCAUACCGCGUGGGUGAAGAAGGCCUUCGGGUUGUAAAGCCCUUUUGUUGGGAAAGAAAAGCAGCAGGUUAAUACCCCGCUGUUCUGACGGUACCCAAAGAAUAAGCACCGGCUAACUUCGUG
rnacentral:rRNA from 1 species